rnacentral:rRNA from 1 species
GCCAAUCCUGUGCCCGCAGCGGGAGUAAUACGCAGAGUGCAAGCGUUAAACUGAAUUACGUGCCGGAGAGCGCACGUAGGGGGUUUUCUAAGUCAUAUGUGAAAUCCCCGGGCUUAACCUGGGAACUGGACCUUAUACUGGAAGACUAGAAUGUGGGAGAGGAGAGUGGAAUUGCCGGUGUAGCGGUGAAAUGCAUAGAGAUCGGAAGGAACACCAGUGGCGAAGGCGGCUCUCUGGACCAACAUUGACGCUGAGGUGCGAAAGCGUGGGUAGCAAACAGGAUUAGAUACCCCAGUAGUC